rnacentral:sRNA from 1 species
GGGGUCCGUAAGGGUCCCCGAAUGGGGAAACCCGGAGGUGGGGUCCGUAAGGGUCCUGCACAGGUGGUGCAUGGCUGUCGUCAGCUCGUGUCGUGAGAUGUUGGGUUAAGUCCCGCAACGAGCGCAACCCUCGUCCUAUGUUGCCAGCGAGUAAUGUCGGGGACUCAUAGGAGACUGCCGGGGUCAACUCGGAGGAAGGUGGGGAUGACGUCAAGUCAUCAUGCCCCUUACGUCCUGGGCUGCACACAUGCUACAAUGGCCGGUACAAAGGGCUGCGAUGCCGUGAGGUGGAGCGAAUCCCAAAAAGCCGGUCUCAGUUCGGAUCGGGGUCUGCAACUCGACCCCGUGAAGUCGGAGUCGCUAGUAAUCGCAGAUCAGCAAUGCUGCGGUGAAUACGUUCCCGGGCCUUGUACACACCGCCCGUCACGUCACGAAAGUCGGUAACACCCGAAGCCGGUGGCCUAACCCUUGUGGGAGGAGCCGUCGAAGGUGGGACCCGGCGAUUGGGACGAAGUCGUAACAAGGUAGCCGUACCGGAAGGUGCGGCUGGAUCACCUCCUUUCUAAGGAGCGUCCGGCUGGUCUGUCCCUGUUGGGGGGUGGGCUGGUCCAGGGCCAGGACCGGAUGUGUAGGCCGGUCUGGUUGCUCGAGGGUGUGGAACACUGAUGAUGUGGCUGCCGGUUCUGUCUGGCUUCUAGUACUCCUGCCUGUGUGGUGGGGUGGAACGGGGUUGGGUGGGGCGGGUGGUCCGUGGCGCGCUGUUGGGUCCUGAGGGAGUCAGGCCGGUGUGGUCUGGUUUUCUUGAUCCGCUUCUGGUGGGUGCCCCUGUCCUCUGUGGAGGGUGGGGGUGUUCGCGAGGGUGGUGCGGGCUGGUCGUCGCAGGAUACUGCUUGUCGUUGGACGGGUGAGUCUUGCUGGUGCGGCUGGUGUCCGUCCGUACGUUGAGAACUGCACAGUGGACGCGAGCAUCUUUGUGGCCAAGUUAUUAAGGGCGCACGGUGGAUGCCUUGGCACCAGGAGCCGAUGAAGGACGUGGGAGGCUGCUAUAUGCCUCGGGGAGCUGCCAUCCGAGCUGUGAUCCGAGGAUUUCCGAAUGGGGAAACCCGGAGUCCGUAAGGGGUCCGAAUGGGGUCCGUAAGGGUCCGAAUGGGGAAACCCGGAGGUGGGGUCCGUAAGGGUCCGAAUGGGGAAACCCGGCCGAAUGGGGAAACCCGGAGGUGUGGUCCGUAAGGGUCCGAAUGGGGAAACCCGGAGGUGGGGUCCGUAAGGGUCCGAAUGGGGAAACCCGGAGGUGGGGUCCGCAAGGGUCCGAAAGGGGAAACCCAGCCGAAUGGGGAAACCCGG